UACGUAGGGGGCGAGCGUUGUCCGGAGUUACUGGGCGUAAAGCGCACGCAGGCGGUCUGCUAAGUUUGGAGUGACAGUUGGUGGCUUAACUGCCAAAGUGCUUCGAAAACUGACAGACUUGAGGGCUUCAGAGGGACACGGAAUUCCGGGUGGAGUGGUGAAAUGCGUAGAGAUCCGGAGGAACACUAAAGGCGAAGGCAGUGUCCUGGGGAGUACCUGACGCUCGAGGUGCGAAAGCCAGGGGAGCGAA
rnacentral:rRNA from 1 species